rnacentral:rRNA from 1 species
GCGUAAAGGGAGCGCAGGCGGUUGGAAUAGUCUGAUGUGAAAGCCCACGGCUUAACCGUGGAAGGUCAUUGGAAACUGUCCAACUUGAAUGCAGAAGAGGUAAGUGGAAUUCCAUGUGUAGCGGUGAAAUGCGUAGAUAUAUGGAGGAACACCAGUGGCGAAGGCGACUUACUGGUCUGUAAUUGACGCUGAGGCUCGAAAGCGUGGGUAGCGAACAGGAUUAGAUACCCUGGUAGUCCACGCCGUAAACGAUGAGUGCUAAGUGUUAGGGGGUUUCCGCCCCUUAGUGCUGGAGUUAACGCAUUAAGCACUCCGCCUGGGGAGUACGACCGCAAGGUUGAAACUCAAAGGAAUUGACGGGGACCCGCACAAGCGGUGGAGCAUGUGGUUUAAUUCAAAGCAACGCGAAGAACCUUACCAGCUCUUGACAUCAUCUGACCACUCUAGAGAUAGAGCUUUCCCUUCGGGGACAGAUAGACAGGUGGUGCAUGGUUGUCGUCAGCUCGUGUCGUGAGAUGUUGGGUUAAGUCCCAUAACGAGCGCAACCCUUAUUGUUAGUUGCCAGCAUUCAGUUGGGCACUCUAGCGAGACUGCCGGUGAUAAACCGGAGGAAGGUGGGGAUGACGUCAAAUCAUCAUGCCCCUUAUGAGCUGGGCUACACACGUGCUACAAUGGACGGUACAACGAGUUGCGAUCCCGCAAGGGUUAGCGAAUCUUUAUAAGCCGUUCUCAGUUCGGAUUGCUCUCUGCAACUCGAGAGCAUGAAGCCGGAAUCGCUAGU